UACGUAGGGUGCAAGCGUUGUCCGGAAUUAUUGGGCGUAAAGAGCUCGUAGGCGGUCUGUCGCGUCGGCUGUGAAAACCCGGGGCUCAACCCCGGGCCUGCAGUCGAUACGGGCAGACUAGAGUGCGGUAGGGGAGACUGGAAUUCCUGGUGUAGCGGUGAAAUGCGCAGAUUUCAGGAGGAACACCGGUGGCGAAGGCGGGUCUCUGGGCCGUAACUGACGCUGAGGAGCGAAAGCGUGGGGAGCGAACAGG
rnacentral:rRNA from 1 species